ACCAGCAACUAACAUCGUCACUCUGUUCAUCUGGAGAGAGGAAAGUAGACAGAAAAUCUGAUCACGAUGGAUUACAUCAAGCCAGCAUUUGACAUUCUGUUCGAACAAGUGAGAAAAUCAGGCAGUUUUUGCACGAUCUUCUUUGCUCUUUUUCUUUACCACAUUAUGUUUGAUGACCACUUAAAAUGCUCUUGUGAAGAUGAUGUUAAAACAGAGAUUACCCCUGAACACUGUAUCUACUACAUGGUGUUUCCAGCUGUGAUCUUGAUUUUCUUGACUCUCUGGAUGGACAGAGAGUUUCAACGAGUCUUGAGAAUGACAUGCAGAUGCAGAUGUGAUUUGUGUGGAAGACUGUUGGGAAUCUUCAUUAAGGCAGUCUCUAAAGGGUUGCUGUGGGUUGUGUGUGUGCUUUUUGAUGGAGACUGGAACGUGUGCUAUCAAAGACCACAUUAUCCCUGCAGAUACAACACUGAUAAGACACCAUUCCAAAAGGACCUAGAAAAGCAAACUGAUAUCAAAAUGUUCUCCAUGGUUUACGGCUCAGGACUGGUUCUGUUUCUACUUGUUGGGAAUUCCAUUCUGACUGCAGUACCUUGGAGGGAUAUCUGUUGUAGAUCUUGCAAGGGUGUCAGAUCUUAUCACAGGGAACAAUUUGAGGAGAAUAUUUGGAAAGAGACAGAAAUUCUUAUUGAAAAAGACUUAAAGAGAACAGCUCAGGAGAGUGUAGUUCUUGAGAGCAGAGGACUACUACUGCCCCUUCCGAAUGCAGCCCAAGGAAACAUACAGGGAGGCGGCGACACCACCCAUCCUGAGGAGGGAGACAGAGUGAUCACCCUGAACAACCUUCAUUUUGACAUUAUAUCUGAUCUAGAUAAUGUUAUAAUUGAUCAAAUCAACACUAUGUACCAGAACCCUAACCAGAACCCUAACCCUAACCAGAACACUAACCCUAACCCUAACCCUAACCAGAACCAGAACCAGAACCCUAACCCUAACCCUAACCCUAACCCUAACCCUAACCAGAACCUUAACCCUAACCCUAACCCUAACCCGAACACGAACCCCCCACAGACUAAUGACGGAGAUGUGACUACAUCGGUUUAGGGAACAACAACAGAAACCAGAAAAGAACAAACUAAUUCAAGGAACCAUAACCGAAGAAGUGGCCAGAUGCCACAACUUUAGGAAGGCCCACAACCCUACCUGUGGUGUAAUAUUGGUCAAUGGUAUAAUAUAGAUUUUUGCAUCAAAUGUGUGAAAUGUCACAAAUUUGGUUGUAAUAUGUAAAAUGAUAUUGACAUUAAUUGUAUCAUACACUGUAUGUGAACCGUUUGUGAAAACUGUGGCUUUCAAGUGAAAUAUUCAAAUCAGCCACGCAAAAAUGAACUGUAGUGAGUAGCAACCAUGUGUUUAUAAGGAUACAUCUGUCUCACAUUAAACUGUGUUUCUGGUUAAGGUGGCAGCAAUAGUUUGGUACAAUACAACCAGAAUGGGUUAUAUGAGGGGGAGUGAGCAACUGUGGGUGAUAAACCUUAACAACGACACUGUAUAAGCUUUCAUAAUGUCACAGGGUGGAAAUGUGAGCCGGGUGGCAAAAAUGAGCCUGUUAGACCACAGUGAUGAUUGACAGAGCUGUUCAAAGUCAUCUUGAUUUCUAGACUAUAAACAAUGUAACCUUCAUUAAUGAAUAUGUGUUAAUAUAACCAGGGAAUUAUUGACAACGUCAGAGUGCAUUAACUGUUGGAUGAGGAACUGUAAAAUAAAACUAUUUGGGAACUAAUGUAACCUUCAUUAAUGAAUAUGGGUAAUUUUAACCAGUGAAUUAUUAUUUUGGUCCUUGAUGCUAAAAUUCAUAUUUUGUGACUGUUAAUUAUAUUCUGUCUUUGUAUCUACCUUUAAAGAACAAUUAAAAAAUAUAUAAUAAUACUAACAAUCUGUAUUUCCUGUCUUCAAUGUACCACAGCUGUGGUGUUCACUUUGCAUUUCUAUACAUGUUUAUGCUGUUCAUUUUGAAGAGUCUCUAAAAUAAAAAUAAUAGUUGUAUUUCUUCCUGUA